CACGCAGGCGGACUGAUAAGUCGGGGGGUGAAAGCCCGGGGCUCAACCUCGGAACUGCCUUCGAUACUGCCAGUCUUGAGUCCGGGAGAGGUGAGUGGAAUUCCUAGUGUAGAGGUGAAAUUCGUAGAUAUUAGGAAGAACACCAGUGGCGAAGGCGACUCACUGGCCCGGUACUGACGCUCAGGUGCGAAAGCGUGGGGAGCAAACAGGAUUAGAUACCCUGGUAGUCCACGCCGUAAACGAUGGAUGCUAGCCGUUGGGCAACUUGCUGUUCAGUGGCGCAGCUAACGCUUUAAGCAUCCCGCCUGGGGAGUACGGCCGCAAGGUUAA
rnacentral:rRNA from 1 species